rnacentral:rRNA from 1 species
UUAUGAAUAAGGAUCGGCUAACUCCGUGCCAGCAGCCGCGGUAAUACGGAGGAUCCGAGCGUUAUCCGGAUUUAUUGGGUUUAAAGGGAGCGUAGAUGGAUGUUUAAGUCAGUUGUGAAAGUUUGCGGCUCAACCGUAAAAUUGCAGUUGAUACUGGAUGUCUUGAGUGCAGUUGAGGCAGGCGGAAUUCGUGGUGUAGCGGUGAAAUGCUUAGAUAUCACGAAGAACUCCGAUUGCGAAGGCAGCCUGCUAAGCUGCAACUGACAUUGAGGCUCGAAAGUGUGGGUAUCAAACAGGAUUAGAUACCCUGGUAGUCCACACGGUAAACGAUGAAUACUCGCUGUUUGCGAUAUACGGCAAGCGGCCAAGCGAAAGCGUUAAGUAUUCCACCUGGGGAGUACGCCGGCAACGGUGAAACUCAAAGGAAUUGACGGGGGCCCGCACAAGCGGAGGAACAUGUGGUUUAAUUCGAUGAUACGCGAGGAACCUUACCCGGGUUUGAACGCAUUCGGACCGAGGUGGAAACACCUUUUCUAGCAAUAGCCGUUUGCGAGGUGCUGCAUGGUUGUCGUCAGCUCGUGCCGUGAGGUGUCGGCUUAAGUGCCAUAACGAGCGCAACCCUUGUUGUCAGUUACUAACAGGUGAUGCUGAGGACUCUGACAAGACUGCCAUCGUAAGAUGUGAGGAAGGUGGGGAUGACGUCAAAUCAGCACGGCCCUUACGUCCGGGGCUACACACGUGUUACAAUGGGGGGUACAGAGGGCCGCUACCACGCGAGUGGAUGCCAAUCCCUAAAACCCCUCUCAGUUCGGACUGGAGUCUGCAACCCGACUCCACGAAGCUGGAUUCGCUAGUAAUCGCGCAUCAGCCACGGCGCGGUGAAUACGUUCCCGGGCCUUGUACACACCGCCCGUCAAGCCAUGGGAG